rnacentral:rRNA from 1 species
AUUGAACGCUGGCGGAAUGCUUUACACAUGCAAGUCGAACGGCAGCACGGGGGCAACCCUGGUGGCGAGUGGCGAACGGGUGAGUAAUACAUCGGAACGUGCCCAAUCGUGGGGGGAUAACGUAGCGAAAGCUACGCUAAUACCGCAUACGAUCUACGGAUGAAAGCGGGGGAUCGCAAGACCUCGCGCGAAUGGAGCGGCCGAUGGCAGAUUAGGUAGUUGGUGGGGUAAAGGCUCACCAAGCCGACGAUCUGUAGCUGGUCUGAGAGGACGACCAGCCACACUGGGACUGAGACACGGCCCAGACUCCUACGGGAGGCAGCAGUGGGGAAUUUUGGACAAUGGGCGCAAGCCUGAUCCAGCCAUUCCGCGUGCAGGAUGAAGGCCU